rnacentral:rRNA from 1 species
GACGAACGCUGGCGGCGUGCUUAACACAUGCAAGUCGAAGAAAGUGGCGAACGGGUGAGUAACACGUGGGUGACCUGCCCUGCACUUCGGGAUAAGCCUGGGAAACUGGGUCUAAUACCGGUUAGUUUGGGAUGGUCCCGCGGCCUAUCAGCUUGUUGGUGGGGUAAUGGCCUACCAAGGCGGCGACGGGUAGCCGGCCUGAGAGGGUGGACGGCCACAUUGGGACUGAGACACGGCCCAGACUCCUACGGGAGGCAGCAGUGGGGAAUAUUGCACAAUGGGCGGAAGCCUGAUGCAGCGACGCCGCGUGGGGGAUGACGGCCUUCGGGUUGUAAACUCCUUUCACCAUCGACGCGGUAGAUGGAGAAGAAGCACCGGCUAACUACGUGCCAGCAGCCGCGGUAAUAC